rnacentral:lncRNA from 1 species
CGCCUUUGGUAUACACAGGUCUUUGGGGCGAAAAUGGGCCCAAAGUCCAUCAGAUUUAGCCCAAAUUUGGGCAUCCUCUUCGUUAUUGCCAUUAUUUACUUAUUUGUAUUAAUUCUCUAACCCAUUUUAUGUGAUUUGGUUAUUUAACUUAAUUAAUCCCCUAAAGAUGAACCACUUUUGAUUAUGAUAACUUAUUUCGUCUCAUUUAAUUAGUUUUCUUUACUUGACCAUUUUGAAAAAGUUUACUUUUCUUUCUAAAUGAUCUCAAUACAUUUAAGUUAAAUGAUUCAUUUUUGUUAUGUCCUUUCUUCUUGAAUUAAUCUUCAAAGUUAGUUGCAAAGUCUAUUUUUUUUCCCGAAUUUGGGCAAAAGCCCGAGUUCAAAUUUUCUCCUUUCUCCUCUUGUAUUUAUUUGUUAUUUUAGUGACUAACUCUUUAUGUGAACUGGUUUUAACUUAAUUAAUUUUUCGAGGAUAGUCGUUUCUCUUUAUAUUCAAAAGUUAAAAUAUUUACCCUUUCUUAUAUACAACUUAUUUAUUACUUAGCUCCUUUUUAGUUUUGUCGAUAGUUAAGUUACCCCCUCCCCCCUUUAGAAAAUUCCCCUUUAGCUCAUCCCCCCUUAAGAUAAAUUAAAUGACAAAAAUAAUAAUAGUAACGAAUAAAUAAGUUAAAGUAAUUGAGUUCUUUUACUUAGUUGAAGUUUUCUUUCAUAAUAAUAAAAAAUUUAGUUAAAAUAAAUGAGUUCUUUACUUAGUCAAAUUUUUUAAAAAAUUGGUCAAAGUCGUUAUGAGUCCUUUUACUUAGUUAAAUUUUUAAAAUUAGUCCAAAUUAUUUUUAGUCAAAUCGUCGGUCAACCGCAAGUUAGCGGGCAUUCCGAGGGCCUAACACCUUCUCGAAAUGUACAUUGAACUCCGAACCCUUUCUUUUUUCAAUAGAUUUUGUCUGUUUAAGUCUUUUAAAAAAUCUUGUAUUUUUUCUUGAUUUUUUAAUAAAAAUUAAGUGGCGACUCUGUCCUUUUGGAAAUUCGAUUUCACUUAAACCAUAAGUUUAAUCGAUUUUUCGAAAACUCGGUCAUUUUCCUUGUAUAUAUCUUUUUAAAUAAAACACUAAUAAUUAUAUCAAUUCCAAUUACUUGGUAACUUUCCAAAAAGAGUAUUAGAUUUCAAUAUCCAUUAUAAGCUCGUCUGGUUUGUUGUUAUUUAAUUAAUAAAUAUAUUCUACCAUAGUAGAAGUGUUCGUAUAUUAGGUGGUAUCAACAUGUCUGUUUUUGGUAAGUAAUUUUAUUUAUCAAGGGCGUUUUGGUCAUUUCAACUCAUAACUUUCCUUCUAUUUCAUUCCACGUGGUCAACUAGCCAUCAUUGUAUUGUACUGCAUCUAUGCCUCUUUCCACCUUGCUUUCAUGUAUGAUCUAGCCAUGGUGGAACAAACACUCUUCCUUUCUCAUAAGCAAAAAGAAAUAAGAUAAACAACUCUUCGAUUCUCGAAAAGGUAAAAAUAAAAAGUUUUUCAGCUCUUUUUGGUUCUCAUAAAGGAAAAAAAGAUAUUAGCUUACCUCUUUGUGCCACACUACCUUGAGACUGUGCAGGUCUAGCUCUGAAGUUUUGCGAAUUCUAAUUCUUGACGAGACAACCCAGAAACAAACAAACUCAUCUCGCUCUUUAUAUCAACGACCAUCUUCGGAGCAUAGCAGAACAAUUGAUAAGGCUAUACUCAUGCACACUUAUAGAUUCUUGCUUAUGAGUGAGAAAUUAUCUUACCUUUGUCUCUCUCAGUUCAUGGGGAAAGAACCGCCCCAUGAAGGCAUCUUCAAACACAACCCAACUCACAAUUGGUGCUCCUUCAUCUCUACUCUUCUUCCAUUGAUCGUACCCUACUCUAGAAACACCCUUUAGUUGGUAUGCAACUAGUUCCACUAGCUCAGCAUCAUCACAUGCAUAACCUCAAAAACUUUCUGCAACUUUUCCACAAAGUUUUCCGGAUCCUCAGUGACACUUGAACCCGUGAAAUCUGGAGGAUUCAUCCUUAAAAACUCAUGGAUCCUAGAUGUAUUAGCCACAUCCUGUCGAUUCCCUCUCUGUUACCCAGCUUGGUUGGUCACCACUUGGCUCAACAUCCGGAUAGCAUCCCGGAACUCAACAUUAGUGACCUCUCCUUGGGGUUGCACUUCCGGUGCAUUGGGCACCCCUUGAUCCUCAACAUUCCUCAUAGGAGGACGACCUUAGACAACUAUUCGUGGAGGCAUGAUCUGAAAGAUACGCGCAAGCACAAAUUAAAAAAAAACUUUAUAAAGAUGAAUUCUAUCACACAAAAAGUAUGAAAGAAGUGAGAUAGUUCCUAAAUGUUGUAGCCUCCUAAUUAUAGAUGUGGCGCGCUUCACACCGAUAACUAGGACUCUACAGACAUAGCUUCAUAUACACCUUAGAACUUUUGAACUCUGUGCUCACAUACCAAGUUUGUCACGCCGCGAGCCUACACCCUGGACGCAACUGGCACUCGAGAACCAUUGAUGGCCCCAAACGAACCCUUGGCCCAGCUUAACUCUUAGAGGAAGACUUACUCAUAAUUAAGAUGAACUAAAAAGCACAACAUUACUCAAUGUCUCAAAGAAAUACUCAGAAUGUUUUAUAAAUAACACAUUCCACUAUGCCAAAAGGCAACUCAAGUCUCAACAUGAACAACUGAAAUGAAAAGAGUCAUGAAAUAUGUCUAUCUAUCUAUGAAGCCUCUACUAACUGAGAUAGACGUCGGGACAAGACCCACGACAUCCUAAUAACAAAAUGAAAUAACUUAAAGUAAAUAGGGGAUCCUUCGGAAUCAAGGAGGCUCACUAAACAACUCUGGAACGUAACUGGAUUAAUGAAGCGCUGGAUGCUAAUCUUGGUUACUUGUAUCUGCAUCAUAAAAGAUGCAGGCCAAAUGGCAACAGUACAUGGAAUGUACGAGAAUGCGAGGGGAAAUUUAAGACAUGACAUAAACUUGAACUGGAACAGAAGAAACAACUUACCUUGUAUCAUUUUAACUCAAUAUAAAGCAAUAACAAUAAUGCAAUAUAAAGAAAAGCUUUUAAAACUAUAGAUAACAACUCAAUGUAUUUGAAAUUGCAAUAUAACUCAGUUUGUAUGCAAAAAUACAAAAUAAACUCUGUUUGGGAGAUUCUCCAACUGACAACCAUCACUAUGAGCUAUGUCAUGAUACAAAGUCUAGCCCACACUGCCAGAACUGUCCUAUACCUUGCCGGGGUAUAGAACUCCUUACUAAGUGGAUCCACUAGUCUAUGCUAAAAAGCAAUAAGGAAUCAUCUAAAAA